GGGGUUGUAGUUAAUCAUAACAUUUAAUUUGCAAUUAAAAGGUACAAUAAAAGUCUUCCUCA
rnacentral:tRNA from 1 species